UUAUAGGUCUUUGAGAAGGCAGCAGGUGAGGAAACUAUCUUAUCCCCUUCCACCUCGCUCGCUUUCUCCAACUGCAAUGGCUUCCUUCACUACAUCUUCUCCUUCCUCCUCGCUCCUCCCCAAAACCCUACUUCCCAUAACCCACCUGACACGCUUCCCUACACUCUCUAUCGGGNNNNNNNNNNNNNNUAACCCACCUGACACGCAUCCCUACACUCUCUAUCGGGAAAUGGAACCAUCCUCUGCUCCGGAGCAUCUCCACCGCGGAGUCUCGCCGUCGGGUGGCGAUUGUCAAGGCUGCGACGGUGGAUUCGGAUUAUUCAUCGAAACGGAGCAGUAGCAACGAG
rnacentral:lncRNA from 1 species